rnacentral:rRNA from 1 species
UGCAGUCGGACGGGAUUGAGAAGCUUGCUUUUCAUGAGAGUGGCGCACGGGUGCGUAACACGUAUGUAACCUACCGUUGUCAGGGGGAUAGCCUCUCGAAAGAGAGAUUAACACCGCAUAAAAUCAUAGAGUAGCAUUACUUAAUGAUCAAAUAUUUAUAGGACAACGAUGGGCAUGCGGGACAUUAGCUAGAUGGUGAGGUAACGGCUCACCAUGGCGACGAUGUCUAGGGGAUCUGAGAGGAUGGCCCCCCACACUGGUACUGAGACACGGACCAGACUCCUACGGGAGGCAGCAGUAAGGAAUAUUGGUCAAUGGAGGCAACUCUGAACCAGCCAUGCCGCGUGCAGGAAGACGGCCCUACGGGUUGUAAACUGCUUUUGUACCGGAAUAAACCUUGAUACGUGUAUCGAGCUGAAUGUACGGUAAGAAUAAGGAUCGGCUAACUCCGUGCCAGCAGCCGCGGUAAUACGGAGGAUCCAAGCGUUAUCCGGAUUUAUUGGGUUUAAAGGGUGCGUAGGCGGCUUAUUAAGUCAGGGGUGAAAGGCGGUAGCUUAACUAUCGGAGUGCCCUUGAUACUGAUGAGCUUGAAUGCAGCUGAGGUAGGCGGAAUGUGACAAGUAGCGGUGAAAUGCAUAGAUAUGUCACAGAACACCGAUGGCGAAGGCAGCUUACUAAAGUGUGAUUGACGCUGAGGCACGAAAGCGUGGGGAUCAAACAGGAUUAGAUACCCUGGUAGUCCACGCCCUAAACGAUGAAUACUCGAUGUUGGCGAUAUACGGUCAGCGUCUAAGCGAAAGCGUUAAGUAUUCCACCUGGGAGUACGCCCGCAAGGCUGAAACUCAAAGGAAUUGACGGGGGCCCGCACAAGCGGAGGAGCAUGUGGUUUAAUUCGAUGAUACCCGAGGAACCUUACCCGGGCUUGAAAGUUAGUGAAUGAU